GUAGGUGGCAAGCGUUGUCCGGAAUUAUUGGGCGUAAAGCGCGCGCAGGCGGUUCUUUAAGUCUGAUGUGAAAGCCCACGGGCUCAACCGUGGAGGGUCAUUGGAAACUGGAGAACUUGAGUACAGAAGAGGAAAGCGGAAUUCCACGUGUAGCGGUGAAAUGCGUAGAGAUGUGGAGGAACACCGGUGGCGAAGGCGGCUUUCUGGUCUGUAACUGACGCUGAGGCGCGAAAGCGUGGGGAGCAAACAGGAUUAGAUACCCUGGUAGUCCACGCCGUAAACGAUGAGUGCUAAGUGUUAGGGGGUCUCCGCCCCUUAGUGCUGCAGCUAACGCAUUAAGCACUCCGCCUGGGGAGUACGGCCGCAAGGCUG
rnacentral:rRNA from 1 species